rnacentral:rRNA from 1 species
CCAUGCCGCGUGUGUGAAGAAGGCCUUUUGGUUGUAAAGCACUUUAAGCGAGGAGGAGGCUACCUAGAUUAAUACUCUGGGAUAGUGGAAGUUACUCGCAGAAUAAGCACCGGCUAACUCUGUGCCAGCAGCCGCGGUAAUACAGAGGGUGCGAGCGUUAAUCGGAUUUACUGGGCGUAAAGCGUGCGUAGGCGGCUGAUUAAGUCGGAUGUGAAAUCCCUGAGCUUAACUUAGGAAUUGCAUUCGAUACUGGUCAGCUAGAGUAUGGGAGAGGAUGGUAGAAUUCCAGGUGUAGCGGUGAAAUGCGUAGAGAUCUGGAGGAAUACCGAUGGCGAAGGCAGCCAUCUGGCCUAAUACUGACGCUGAGGUACGAAAGCAUGGGGAGCAAACAGGAUUAGAUACCCUGGUAGUCCAUGCCGUAAACGAUGUCUACUAGCCGUUGGGGCCUUUGAGGCUUUAGUGGCGCAGCUAACGCGAUAAGUUGACCGCCUGGGGAGU